rnacentral:lncRNA from 1 species
CCAGUGAGUGGGCUUUUGGUUUUCAGUAUAUACUUAUAUACUUGAUGUUUUUUCCCAGAAAAUGCAUUUAAAUUAGUUAUGAUUUGAAUUGUCAUGCCAAACGUUUUAUAUCUAGAAUAUGCAUAUGAUGUUUGCAUAUAUAUUUGUGCUGAGGACGCUCAGGUAAAUUCCCAGGUGAGUUUAUGAAUUGUGAAUAUGAAUAACGGUUGUGAUUAUUUGAGAAGCAUAGAGCUCAUAAACCUGCACCCUGGGUAAUUGUGAUUUAGUCAGAGAUACAGGGAACGAGCCUGUUUAUGAUGUCACCUCCUGCACCAUAUACUCACAUUGGAUCCAAUUUAGGUGCAUAGUCUUGUCGUAUAGACCAUCAUAGGUGGUUCCAACUCGUAGGUGACCAUCGAUUCAUUGCAUAGCUAUCAUGAGUGCAUAGCAUUGAGCAUAACUAUAUUACACCCAAUCUUGUCGUACAUACAUUUUCAGUGGUUUCGACUUGUGUGCAGUGUAGUGUCGUAUAGGUCAAUUGUAGUGACUCUGGCUAGAUUGACUAAUGAGCUAUGAAUUCAGUCGUACAAACUUCUACAAGGGUUCCGGCUAAUGUGUUAUUUUCCAUGAAUUUAUUUUCACUUGAGUUACUUAUUAUGUUUAUAUCUUGGCAUGACAUAUUUAUGAUUAUGGAUAUGUGAAGUAUGAUUUGAAUAUUUAUAUAUAUAGAUGUAUAUAAUUAUAUUCUAUUUCUAGGAAAAAUUAUACAUAUUUUACGGCGAGGGGUUAGAACAUUUGAAAGUUAAAUUUGUUCUCAAAACCUUUGUUUUGCCCACUCACGUUUUUUUUUUUUUGCGCCUCUCCAGGUUUUAGGUAGACUUGUUGUUAGUGGCAUUUGAGGAUUCGGCGGUUCUGACAAAAUAUAAUAUUCGUAGGACCUCUUAUGGUACUGUAUAACUAGUACUUGUCCUACUGGACUGCACCUAGACUUUCUAUGCUCUAAUUAGGAGUAUUUACACUUGUAUCUCAUUCCUUAUACUUUCUGCUUAUAAGUGCACAUUAGUAGCUUUCAGUUUUUAUUUAUUCGUAUAUUUCUUUAUCUUUAUCGUUUCCGUACUGUGCACAUAGCUACGUCACCCUCACAUGACGGCCAGCAUGCCUUGAUUUUUGGUCGGGAUGUGUCACAUAUUAUGGGAAAUUAAAAGCCUUUAUGAGCUUGACGUAUUAGAUAUCAUUUUAUUAUGUCAUAAAAUUAUCUUGAAUGAGAAUAUAUAGUACAUGCACAUAAAACAAACAAACUAAAUUACCGCACCGCACAAUAAAAGAUCUAGAAAGAUGAGUAUGAAGAUUGAGUAAUGUUUGGAAUAUAGACAAAGAUA